rnacentral:lncRNA from 1 species
AAAAAAGGAAACCUACUCCACCCAGUCAAUCUUCCAACGGCUGAAACCCAUUAAUUGCUCGACAUUUCUUAUCAGCUUUCCCAUCCGUUCUCUCCUUUUGACGAUAGCGUUUCCCAAGGUUUUCAUUGUUUGCUAUCUCUUUGUAGACAUAAGUUCUCUUCCAGUCUUCUUAGUCUAGAUUUCUAGUCCAUUGUUCCUCUGCUCUCUUAUCACGCUGAAUCGGCUCCUCGUUCUCCAGGUGAUUUCUCUCGCUAUUCUGUAGUGCUUCCUUUGCAAUAUAUGGGCUUUAGUGUUCUCUAUUUUCUGUAUGUGUUUAAACUCAAUCUUCUGAAAAUAUGGUUUCUUGCUCUGGAUAUCUCUGAUAAUGGCUCCAAUGUCUGAGUAAUCUAUUGUAGAUGAUUGACCUUUCUUGAUUACUAUUAGAGAAUCGCCCAGUAUUUGGAUUUCCUGAAAACCCAUUUCGAUUCCUAACUUAAUUGCUUCUAAUCCUGCAAAUGCUUCCGCUGCAAAUGGAGAAGCAACAUUACGAUGAAUAAUCGAUUUCGUGGUCAAAACUUCGUUCAUCGGACCCCUAACUACCAACCCCGAUGUUGAUCUGAACUCUCUGUUGUUAAACGCGGCGUCGAACUGGAUCUCCAUAAUCGAUACGUCUUCCCCAUUUCUUUGAUUGUGCCUCGUAUGUGAUGAAGUCAUUUUAACUUUAAUCCCUUUGUAUUCUGCCACACGAUCCUGAAUUUUCUGUGCAAGGUCUUUGCUCGUUGUGUGGACCCGUUCAUGCAACAGUUGGUUCCUUGAAUGCCAUAGUAUCCAUAAGCCAUAACAAAAAUACCUGUAUUGUUCGUUUGUUCCUUGGUUGAAGAUCAGGGUGAGCCAUUCCCAGAAAUCUUGAUGUGCAAAAGUUGUGAUCCAUGAUAAAUUUAAAAGUUGCCAGACCUCUAUUCUUGUGGAACAUUGCCAAAAAAUAUGAUGACAAUCUUCAUUUUCAUCACUGCACUGGGGACAUCUGGCAUUAGUCACUAACCUUCUAUGUCGUAAAUUGCUCAAUGUAGGAAUGUAAUUCCAUGAUAUGCGCCAGAUUAUGAUUGUAAUCUUAGGUGGUAAUUGUAGUUUCCAUAGUUUACUAAAAAAUUCCUUAGCUUCGGCCUGUAACAAAUAAUGACUAGAAUCCAGAUUAGCAAUUUGUAAUAGUUUAUAGGCACUAUGGACUGAGUAUUCCCCUGUUAGUUCGCCCCUCUAGACUUGGAAGUCCUCGUGGGUUGAUUCUGAUAAUGUAAUCUGUAAGAUUUUGUGAGCAGCCUCCGGGUAAAAGGUAUGGUUAAUUAGCUCUACCUUCUAGUUUCUAGUCGUACUAUCAAUAAGAUCCGAAACAAGUUCUAAUAGCAUACUGUCUGACCUGUUGUGCCUUUCCAGUAAAUCAAUUCCUUGGACCCAUCGAUCAUUCCAUAUGGAGACUUUGUUCCCUUUACUGAUUCGCCAGCUUAGGCCUUGUUGAAGGAGCCCCUUAGCUGCCCAAAUACUCUUACAGGUAAGUGAAGGUAAAGUUCCUAACUGAGACUCUAAAAAAGUUGAAUGCGGAUAGUAUUUUGCUUUUAAAACCCUGGCUAGUAAUGAAUUAGGAUAAUGAAUCAAACUCCAUCCUUUUUUAGCAAGCAACACAACAUUAAAUUAACUCAAAUUUCGAAAACCAAGGCCACCAUUCUCCUUUAAAAAAUAAAUAUUCUUCCAAGAACACCAAUGAAUUCCACUUUUCCCAUGUCCCUUCUGCCACCAAUACUUCGCUAUAAUACUUUCAAGAUCACCACAUAGAGAAUUCGGCAAUAGAAAACAUGCCAUUGUGUAAGUCGGAACUGCUUGGAGAAUUACUUUAAUAAAGACUUUUUUACCUCAUUGCGAUAAAAACCUGUUACACCAGUUAUCAAUGCGUUUUUUAAGACGAUCCUUCAAGUUUUGAAAGCUUCCUUCUUUCUCCUUCUCACUAUAUUCGGCAAUCCUAGAUAAUGUUUUGGCUCGGUUAAACUUUGAACACCCAGUAAAUUGACAACCAUGUGCUUUUCUUCUUCUGAAGUGUUUUUGCUGAAAAAUAUCGUUAAUUUAUCGAAAUUCAUACACUGUCCCGAGCAAAGUCCGUAUUCUUGCACUAUGUUUUUGAAUAAAUGCGCUUAUUUUCUUGUGGCUUCUCCAAAUAAGAUGCAAUCGUCGGCAAAUAGAAGGUGUGAAAUCGAUGGACCAUUCUUGCUAACCUUGACUCCUCUUAGACUUCCUUCUCGCUCUGCUAUUCGCAAUAGACUAGAUAAUCCCUCACCACAUAAAAGAAAUAAAAAUGAACUUAAUGGAUCACCUUGACGAAGCCCUCUGGUUGGUUGAAAUUCCUCUCCUAAAUGUCCGUUCAUAACCACUGAAUAAGAAAUAGUAGUAACACAUUGCAUGAUAGUCUCUACCCAUUUGUUCGCGAAACCCAUUCGAAGCAUUAUCUGUUUUAUGAAUUCUCACUCGACCCUAUCAUAAGCUUUACUCAUAUCGAGUUUAACUGCCAUGAACCCUUUCUUACCCAUUCUCUUCUGCUUCAACGUAUGUACAAUUUCAUAUGCUAACAGCACGUUAUCAGAAAUUAGUCUUUCUGGCACAAAGACACUUUACGCAACAUCUAUACAUUUUUCGAUCACUUUUCGAAAGCGGUUCGCAAAAGUCUUUGCCAAAAUUUUAUAGAGAACAUUACAAAGACUAAUCGGACGAAAGUGCAUCAUAUUAUAAGGGCUAGAAUUCUUCGGGAUUAGUACAAUAUAUGUAGAGUUAAGGGAUCUAACCUCCAUAUCACCGUUUAAAAGGUGCAAACAGAAAUCGGUAACUUCAUCUCCAAUAAUGUUUCAACAUUUCUGAUAAAAAAGUCCUGGAAAUCCAUCUUCUCCCGGCACUUUCGUAGACCCCAUGUCGAACACUGCCAUUUGAAUUUCUUCUUUUGAAUAAUUUGCAAUUAAAUGUUUAUUAUCCUCCUCAUGUAUGCAACGUUCAAUGCCUGAUAACAGAUGUUCAUAAGGACCCCUCUGUUCUGUUGAAAAAAGUUGUUGAAAAUAAGAGCGAGCGAUUCCCUCCAUAUCCUGUAAGGUCUUCAUUUCUCUGCCAUCGUCAGUUUGCAACUUACGAAUACAAUUUUUCUUCUUUCGUUGUGUUGUUUGGCUAUGAAAGAAUGUCGUAUUUCUGUCUUCGAACUUCAACCAAUUCAAUCUGGCCCUCUGUUCCCAGUACUGCUCAUUCUUCUCGAUUUCAAAGUUUAACUAUAUUUUUGUAUCAAUCAACUCAGCUAAAUUGUUGUCAUCUCUAUCAGCAUCAUAUAAAUCGAUUAAUUUAGCCGUAAGAAUCUUCGUCUUCUUUUGUCGAUUUAUUAGGAUCUGUCCAGCCCAUUUGGCCAAGUCCUCCUUCAAAUUCUCUAGCUUUUGCAUUAAGUCUCCUGAAUACAUUUCCUAGAUUUUUGUAACCUCACCAAGAAAAGAGUCCUCUAGCACCCAUCAGGCUUCAAAUUUGUAAAUUUUGUUCCUCAAUCUUUCCCCUACGUUGCUUGUAUCAGUUAAAAGAGGAAAAUGGUCUGAGAAAAAAUGUACUAAAUGUUGCACUUUCACCUCCAAGAACAUGGAUACCCAUCUCGCAUUAGCCACUCCUCUAUCCAACCGUUCUCGAAUGUUCGUCUCUGGAAGGUUACCUCUUUCCCACGUGAACCAUCUACCAGAAUAUCUUAUAUCAGACAGUUGACAAUCCUCCAGAGUUUUUCGAAAUAGAUCCAUUCUCCUUUCAUCCCUAGGUAACCCUUCCUUUUUUUUAGAUCCGUACAUUAUUUCAUUGAAAUCCCAACAGAUAAACCAAGGGAUGUCGUCAUCAACUUUUAGACUUUUCAGAACAUCUCAUGAAUUAUUCCUGUCAUGUGCAUACGGGGAUCCAUAAAAACUUGUAAAUCUCCAUUUAACUUCUAAUUCCUUAUCCUCGAUAUCCACAUCAAUGUGUCUCUUUGAAUAAGAGCGAAUAAUAACCGAAAUAUCCAAUCUUCAUCCCAAACAUAAACCUCUUCUACUGCCAUCUGAAUCAACCUCAAUACCAUUCCCAAAACCAUAUUUUCGUCGCACUCUUUCCAUCUGUCUCUUAUCAAGUUUUGUCUCCAUAAAGAAGACAAUUUGGGAAUUGUGCGUCUUCAGUAGAUGCCGAAGUCUUCGUAUCGUCGAUGGUCUCCCCAAACCACGGACAUUCCAACUUAAGAGUUUCAUUGCACCCGGUCGGCUUGCCUCUUGGCAGCUACCGAUAAUAAUUGGUUAGCAUCCAUUAGUCUCUUGCUCCUUACUAUUAAGCAGUCCAUAUCUUCAUUCUUUGAUAAAUCGUCCCUCGCUCCUCUAGUUCUCUUUUUUCCCUCUUCUCCAAUAAUGACACCUCCUCCAAGUCGUGCUCCAUCCUUGUUUGCAUCAAUUUUGAUUGUAUUUUUUCCUUUUGACUGUCAUAAGAUAAGGAUCCCCCUUUCAGGCUAAAACCCAAUAUUGGAUCGAUAGCCUUCUCACUCUUUCCAUUGCUAUCUGCAUUCCAUAUUCGAUUUCUUGGGGCCUAAUUGUUUCUCCUAUCCCCUUCAUGAUUCUCAUCAUCCUCUUUCCGAAGCCAGAUACUGUUCAUCGAUAAAGCUCUACAUGACUAGGCACGCAAAGACAGAUCCCACCUUAAUUCUACAAUUUCCACUUCAAGCAGCCUUUUAGCUUUACAAAACGAGUCGCUAUGCCCCAAACGGCCACAGUAAAAAUAGAACAGAGAUAAUCUCUUAUACUUAAAUCUGACAUAUGAACAUCUUCUGUUAAACAAAACCUAUUUUUUCCUUUUCGAAGGUCGUCUGAUGUCAAUCUGGGCCCUUAUACGCAUGUAGUUACGAUUCUCCUUCCUUAAAUUUGUACCAUCAAACUCCAAAAAAUUCCCCAAGAAAUUACCCAAUUGUACUGCUAAUUUUUCAGAAAAUAAACCAUCAGGGACAUCAUGAAUUUGUAUCCAAAAAGGGGUAAAUAUUAAUGGCACCUUUAACGGGUCCUCCCCCAACUGCAAUUUGUAAAGAACAAACAAAUGAUUGUUAAAAGUCCAAGGUGACCCCUUUAUAACUUGCUCCAUAUCCAUUAUGUGAAAAAAUUGGAAUAUAUACCUUUUAUCUCCCAGAUUCCGGAACUCCACAGACCAAAUGCCAUAAAUUUGCCAUCGUGCUUUUCAUGGUCGGAAAGUGGAUUAUACUGGCUGUUAGAAAGCAACCUACUAGUUGGAAUUCGCUCCUGUCUCUUCCUAGGAUUGGAUCCAUUGGAAUUUCCAAAAUUUCAUCCUCUUCUUCAUUAAGUGACAAACCUGCUAAUGCAGUUUCCAUUAUUGCAAGUAUCGAACACCAAUCUAAAUAAUCCUUAAUUCAAGCAGUGACUAAAGGCUAAUUUGUGAAGAAAGAUUUGUAAAAAGACGAAAGAAUGCCAGAAAACAAAAGACAAGAAACAAGAAAACCUAGAUACUCAUGCCAGCGGCAGCAGGCUUUGACUUGCUAGGGUAGCAGACUUUUUUGUAAUAUUUUUUAGAUUUAUACAUAUUUAAAUAUGUUUAUAUUAAAAAAUUAUUUUUAAUUGUUUUUAUAGAUUUUCUAAUAAUUUUUAGUCUAAUAUUUUUAAUUUUAUUUUAAAAAUUGUUAAGAAAAUUUUAAAAAAAUUAAAAUGAUUUUAUAACUACAGCUCAAGAACCAAAUUAGCUAUUAACCUUUUGACUUAAGUGCAACAUUAUUUUUUUAAUAAAAGUUAAUAGUCGAGUGACAAAAAUAUAACAAUUUUAUAACGUUAGUGACUAUUAUGUAAUUUUUGAAAGUUGAGUGAUUGAAAUGUAAUUAAAUAAAGUUUAGGGACAAUUGAUGUGGUUUACCCAAAAAAAUCAAACUUGAAACUAAACAAAAAAACAUGUUGAUAAUUAGCGACAACAUUGAUUGUGUUUGGAUGAAGAAUUUUAAAUUUUUUAAGAUUUUAAAACGCUAGCCUUUUAGAUUUCAUCAAUUCAAAAGGCUAACAAUUAUAAAUACUCUGUUUGCAUAAAUAAUUGUUUUAAAAAAAUAGUUUAUUAGAUUUUUAUGAAUUAAAAAAUAAUUAUAAAAGAAAAAUAGUUAUACUAAAGAUAAAUAAUAUGAAAAAAUUCAAUAUGUAUAUUAUUAUAUUUCUAAAAUAUUAUAAAUAAUUUUAAUAAAAUAAAAAUUUUUAAAAUUAUAUAUUAGAAUUAAAUAAAAAUAAUUUUUGAAGUUUUAUUAUUUAUCUUAUACUAGGACUACGUGUAUUAAAUAAAAUAAAAUGAUAAGGAAUUUUGAGAAACUUUUAUUUAGGCGGAAUUUAAAAAGAGAAAUUGAACUAAAAUUCUUCUAAAUUUUUAUCAGACAAAUAAGCCGACGUUAAUAGCAGGUCUAAUUCCUCGAUAAAAGAGCUCUGUUUCUGAACAGAUUUGUCCAUCAGUAAUGGGGAUCACAUUGGUGGGAAUAUAGGCCGAUACGUCUCCAGCUUGUGUUUCAAUGACGUGUAAGGCGGUCAAGCUACCUGCGCCUGUCUGGUCCGAUCGUUAAACUCUUAGAAUUUUGAAAACCUUUUUAAAUCCAAACAUAGAUAUUACAAAAGCUUAUAUGCAAAGCAAUUUAAGGAAAGUUUGUGAAAGAAAAUUUGGCUAAAGUUUUUACAAAAAAUACUUUCAGCAUUUUCUGAUGUUUAUUUCAUGUGAAAUAAGAUGAUCAAUGUAGAAAGUUUUUCAGUCAACGUAAAAUUACCCUUUUAAUCCCGUAAAAUGUCUUAUCAAUUUUUUUUCUAUAAGACAUUUUCUAAAUUGAUAAGGCUCUGUUUAUCAAAUGUCGUUAGACAUUUUUUAGCCGAUGUUAGCUACGAAUUGACAUAAAACAUAGCACUAUCAAUAAUCAACCGAUUCACAUUCAAUUAUCAAUUUAUACAAAAUUUAAAUAUUAUUCAAUUUAGUCCCUAAAACCGAGACUAACAUAACUUUCGAUUUAAAACUUCAAAUUGAAUUUUGAUUUCACUAUUAUACAUUAGGGACCUCUUAUUUCUUAUUUUUACAGUCAAUUUUACAUUUUAUUCUGUUUAGUUUUUAAUGCACGAAACUAUCAAAUAAGCUUUACAAUUUAGUCAUUUCUCACAUCUAAGCUUAAAAUCUAUCAAUUUAACACCUAAACCUUCAAGAAAUCAACAAUGAAAACUUUAUAAAACUUUUAUAGUUUUACAAAUUGUUACAUGGAUUAGCUAAUUCAAUCUCUCAUGACCUCAAAUCUAUAAAAAUUACAAGAAAAUAACCAAUAACUUACUUGAAUUUUGAAGUUAAAAGCUUGAAGCCCUAAGAAUGGUGUCUCCCUAAUUGUAUUCAUGUUUUACAAUUUUAUCAUAGAUCUAAGCCCCUUUAUUCUACUAAUUGAAUAAUAAUAAAUUUGUAACAGCUAGUUUUUUAGUGGUGUAGGAAACAAUGGUUUUGGGGCCACCAAAUUCGACGAGUAAGUUCGUAAAUAUUAUUAUUUAAUAUUUACGAGCCAAGUGUGAUUUUUAAAAAGGUUUUUGAUUUGAUAAUUUAUGUUAUAUAAGUGAUUUAUUAAGUUUAAGUGGUUUUAGAAAAUGAGGUAUCAGAAUCUUAUUUUUAUAAACUGAGCCAUAAAUAUUUUUAUAAAUAUUUACAGAGUGUCAUUAAGGUGGUACUAAAGUUCCAUUAAAAAAUUUUAACGUUUAGAUAGUUAAUUAAUUAAAAAGGACCAAAUUAAAAAAAACUGCAUUCUCGGGACUCCAUUCCUGUAAAUUGGACUAAUAUUUACGAAGCUAGUUGUGUAGUUAAUUAGAUUUCAGUUAAGUGUAUUUGCAUAAAUUAAAAGUAAUUAGGAAUAAGGACUAAAUUGCAUAUAGAGUGAAAGUUAAAUUAUAGAUUAAAGAAUAAUUAAAGGGACUAAAGAAGUAAUUUACCCAUUUUUAUUUAAGCGGGAUUAUAUGUAAAUUUAAUUUAUAUAUAUUAUAUUAUAAUAAAAAAUCUUAAUUGUUAAGUAUAUAUAUUAUAUUUAUAAUAAAACAAAAAGGUAAUAAAAGAAAGAAAAAGAAAGAAAGCCAAACAAAAUUAGAAAGAAAGAGAAAGAGAAAGAAUAAAAUGAAACAGAACCCACGACCUAGGGUUUCAAAUUGUUCAAAGUUUAAUUGGUUAGUUAAUUUAGUCUAUUUUUUUGUAUUUUUUAUGUUUUUGGAAUCUCGGUACCUAGGGUUAACUGACCCAUGUUGAAAUUUUAGCAUUGAUUGAGUUUUUAAAUGUUGUUAAUGUUGAAUAAUUUUAGUAAUAGGGAUUAAAUUGAUAGAUUUUUAAGCUAGAAGUGAAAAAGGAUUAAAUUGUAGAAUAAAUUAUAAAUUUUGAGUAAUAGGGACUAAAUUAAAAAAUUUAAAAUUUAGGGGUUUAAGUGAAAAUAGGGAGUUAAAUUUAGUUUAAAGUGGAAUUUGUAUGAAAAUAUAGAAUUAAAUGUGAAGAAUAAAAAUUAGUCUCGGUUGGACUAAAUUGAAAUUUAGGCAAAUAUUGACUAAAAAUUAAAAUAUUCAAUAUGAAAUUGAAUUGUGUUAUAUUGAUGAAUUUUAAUUGUUUUAAUUUCGUAGCUAACGUCAUACCGGAAUCCUUGACUAAAAAAGGGAAAGAUAAAGUCAACGUUGAAUAGCUCGGAAUUCCUGGUUUGUAUUUCUAUAAUCUGAACCUAGUUGUUAAUUGUUAUAACUCAAUUUAAUGCAUACGAUAAGUAUUGAGGUGAGUAAUUGACAUUUGGUAAUUGAUUGAAAUGGAUUGAAUUGGUAGAUGCAUAUUGAAUGUAUUAAUGUGAAAUUUGGGUAUUUAUUAUUAUAGAUUGAAUUUAAUUCAUGUGUAUAUAUGUAAUUAUAUGAAAAAUUAGUAUUGAAUAUUGGCUAUAUCUGAAAUGUGAAAUUAAAUCCUAUUAACUGUAUCGGGCUGAGUCGGAUAUAGAUGGCAUGCUAUAGGAUAGAAAGAGUUCAGAGAAUUCUUCGACUUCAAGUUGAUGAGGCACCGGGUGUCAAUUUACUUCGGUUUAACCGAUGAGGCACUAGGUGUCAAUUUAUAUAGCGCUGGUAGUAGUUAUACUCCGAAUUUAUCUGAUGAGGCACUAGGUGCCAAACCGGUUUGUUGGUUGGAUUUGUGUAUCCGUCCGAGUCUGAGUCGUGUUAAUAGGGGUAAUUAAAUAAAACGGUACUAUGAUUGAUAUUGGAUGAUAUUGUAUAUGAAUUGAAAAUGAGAUAGUGAAUUGAAACAUGAAAAUGAGAAACAUGAAUUAUGUAUUUAUGAAUUGGAAUGGAUAAUGUUAAUGUUUAUAUGAUAUGUGGAUUAAAUUGUGAAACCUUAUUAUAUAGCAAGUAAUGGGAAUUGAGUGUGGUAUAAAAUGAUGUAUUUAUGAUUUGAGUAUUGAAUGGCUAAUGCCAUUGUAUGAAUAAAUGUGAUUUUAAAUAUUCAAUUGUGCUUAUAAUUAAUAUGUGUAUAUUAUAUUAUCUUGUCUUUAAUAUUCGGAUUAUAGAAAUACCACUGAGUUUUACUCAGCGUAUGGUUUUGUUUUCCGUGUGCAGGUUAGGUACUUAACUUUCAACCGCUGAUUCAGCAUCCAACAACAAUUCCGAACUCAAAUGUGGUGAUGUCUAUUUUUUGUGUCGGCAUUUACCUAGGAUGUCUAAAUAAUAAUUAUUUUGUGGAUUGAUUGUAAAUGAGGUUAUAACUUUAAUGUUAGUUUGUUAUAUAUAUAUAUGUAAACAUGUGUUUGUUUUGAAGUCAUAUCAUGGCAUCGUAAAUUGAAUCAAAUCUAAAUAUGUGCAUGUGAAUUUAAG